AGUGAACGCUGGCGGUAGGCCUAACACAUGCAAGUCGAACGGCAGCACAGGAGAGCUUGCUCUCUGGGUGGCGAGUGGCGGACGGGUGAGGAAUACAUCGGAAUCUACUUUUUCGUGGGGGAUAACGUAGGGAAACUUACGCUAAUACCGCAUACGACCUACGGGUGAAAGCAGGGGACCUUCGGGCCUUGCGCGAUUGAAUGAGCCGAUGUCGGAUUAGCUAGUUGGCGGGGUAAAGGCCCACCAAGGCGACGAUCCGUAGUUGGUCUGAGAGAGUGAUCAGGCACACUGGAACUGGGACACGGUCCAGACUCCUACGGGAGGCAGCAGUGGGGAAUAUUGGACAAUGGGCGCAAGCCUGAUCCAGCCAUACCGCGUGGGUGAAGAAGGCCUUCGGGUUGUAAAGCCCUUUUGGUGGGAAAGAAAUCCAGCUGGCUAAUACCCGGUUGGGAUGACGGUACCCAAAGAAUAAGCACCGGCUAACUUCGUGCCAGCCGCCGCAGUAA
rnacentral:rRNA from 1 species